UACAGAGGGGGCAAGCGUUGUUCGGAUUCAUUGGGCGUAAAGGGUGCGUAGGCGGCGCGGUAAGUCGGGUGUGAAAUCUCGGAGCUUAACUCCGAAACUGCAUUCGAUACUGCCGUGCUUGAGGACUGGAGAGGAGACUGGAAUUUACGGUGUAGCGGUGAAAUGCGUAGAUAUCGUAAGGAAGACCAGUGGCGAAGGCGGGUCUCUGGACAGUUCCUGACGCUGAGGCACGAAGGUCAGGGGAGCAAAGCGGG
rnacentral:rRNA from 1 species